GUCGGAUUCAUCUGAAAAUUUGUAGGCAGAAAGAUCUUGACCUGAUAAACAAUUUUACUCCUGUCAGAUUUGCUCUAAAUGCUUUGGUUUUUGAGUUAUAAGCCAAAAACUGCAUUUUACCCCUAUGUUCUAUUUUUAGCCAUGGCGGCCAUCUUGGUUGGUUGGCCGGGUCACGCCACACAUUUUUUAAACUAAAUACCCCAAUGAUGAUUGUGGCCAAGUUUGGUUUAAUUUGGCCCAGCAGUUUCAGAGAAGAUUUUUGUAAAAGUUAACGACGAC
rnacentral:lncRNA from 1 species